AUGAUCAAGGCUUUCUGGUGGGGCAGCAAAAGAGGUAAGAGGAAACCCUAUUGGGUGUCUUGGGAUACGAUGAUCAUGACGAAGUACAUGGGAGGUUUGGGUUUCCGAGAUUUCGAGAUCUUCAACUUGGCUCUCUUGGCGCGGUAGGCGUGGAGAAUUCUGGAGCAACCUGAAUCUCUAAGUGCGAGGAUAUUGAAGACAGUUUACUAUCCGAACUCAGUUUUUCUUGAUGCUGAACUGGGAAACCACCCCUCACAAAUCUAGAGGUUGGUAAUAGAGGGGCGUGAUGUGCUGCAACAAGGUCUUAUCAGGAGAAUUGGCAAUGGUAGUUCCACUAGUAUUUGGGACAUGAACUGGAUCCCAAGGCCUGAAAAUAUGCGACCAUUGUUUCUCUUAUUCAGAACCCACCACUGA
rnacentral:rRNA from 1 species